CCCGGCGGGGAUCAGGUUUCGUUUCCAAAUCCCACCCGUCACCCCACCCACUAGCAGAGCCCGUCCCGGGCAGCUCUUCCUCCACCUCCUGUUCCCCCGCCUGCGGCACAGGGGCAGGUAGCCAGCAAGGAAAGGGGGCCCAGCAGCACGGGAGCUUUGGAAGAGACUAGGCAAAGGGUACUGGAGAUGAAUCCGUAACUACGGAAUUCAGUCGAUUCCCUCCAUCGCUUUUCCAGGACACUUGUAAUUGGAGCGUCUUACAAAAUGCUGUACUGAGCGCACACCUUGCCACCAAGGCCCCUUACAAAAGAUCUCCAGCGUCAUCUCUUACAAGCAGAAAGAAAAGCCACAAAGGGGGUCAAGGGAGAGGAUGGGGAGCUUGGGGCCUUUGUAACAGACUGAUAUACAGGCAGUCCCCGACUUCCAACAUUUCAAGUUUAUAAAUGUACACGCGUUUCAACUUUCUGACAUCGGUUUCAACUUUACAAUGCUUGAUCUGACGCAACGCCACACCAGCAAACGAGUUCGCUGUAUCGCCCGUGUCCCUGGAGAACAUCUGUCCAAACUUGCUUGGACACUUUCUAUAAGAAAGCAGACAAGACUCCCGAGAAGACUCCAGCCAAGAACCCUUCAAAAAGUCCAACCAAGAGCCCUUCAGAAAGUCUAGCAAAGUCACCUCAGAGAAGUCUUUCCAAACUGCAGCUGCCUCAAGAGUCAGGAGAUUCUGAGACAAGGAGCAGCAAGAACCACAGAUGUCAAUGUGUCAGAGUCUAUCUGCAUCUCUGUACAGCUGCUUUUAAUGAAAGCUGACAGAAGGGUGAAGAGAAGAGCUCACAAACCAGCCUUCUUUUGCCUAAUCCUACUGGAAUUUAUGAACUAGGAGAUGAAUACAGCAGAAUCCAAUGGUGUUGAGAAGAAUCCCAGACCAAGAAAGAAAAUGCUGUUGGGGAAGUGGCAGAAGUUAUACAGUGCUGACUGUUAGAAAGAGACAGGGGAUUUGAUCCAUGGAGGAUAAGCAAAGUCUUGUCUGGACCAGUCCCUUAGCACGACCCUCUUUUGGAUCUAUUUGGAUAAAAGGAAAGGGAUAUACCCACAGAAAGCACAUGUCCUGGGUCAAAAACCUGGUUUCAAUCCUUCCUGUUUGUCCAAAGUUCUGUCCAGCUUUUGCACAUCAUUUCUAUAAUAUGUGACCUUCAAUUUACAGCUCAGGAACAGGAGUUUGGAUUCCUGAGUUUUAUUCCCAGUUUGCCACAGAUUUGCUCUGAUUCCUUGUAUAAAUAUUUCACCAUCCUCUACUGUUUGUUCACCAGUAAAUUGGGAAUAACAUUUACCCCAACUCCAAAGAGUUUGCUGUGUUUCCAAACAAACCUCCCAUCACCCAGACAUCUAUAGUACUUUCCCCUGAAGGAGCAUUAAAAGCCCCAGAAUCAACAACUUCCCAAAUCCCAAGACUGCUCCUUCACAAGAAUAAGGGCUGAAAGCUCAUGCCUAGAGCUGCUAAUGAAGCAAAGCUGCUACCCAAAGAUAGAGCACACAAGAGCCAAAGGGCUGAAAUUUACAUCUUUAAUAUUGUGUAUUCACUUUACACCACAUGAACCGUUCACAAGACAGACUGCACCACACUAUCCUCCUCCGCGAUCCCAAGCGUUUCCAGUUGCAGCUAGAGAUCAAACACAAGCACCCUAUAUCUUCCCUCCCCAACCAAAGAGAUUAUACAGUGCUCCACAAAGUACCACUUGCUUAAAAAGAGAAACAAAAAAGACAACAUUAGUUUAGUGCCACUCCC